CGGAAGUCCAAGAAUCUAGGAGUGGAAAAUCCUAUGUCUCCAGAGCCCUCGAUUCUCGUGCCAAGGCACUGCCGGCUAAGAGGAGCAAACAGGGCUUUGGGGUCGACAAUACGCCUGGAACGGCUGGGACCAUGACCCACGUUUUGGCGACCAACAACGACUUGUAUUUUAUGACUCGGGCUUUCCUACGGAAGCCCGAGUAAUAAAGAGAAUGAACAAACUGUGAACAGUGAAACGAGCGCAAAGAAAAUAAACGCCUGAACUUAACGCAACCGAUCAAGUAUAGAUAACAGUCAGGCGAUCCCCGCGCAAACAUAAACAUGAACCGCCCAACGAGCGCAAAGCAAACGAAAGCCCGAAUACAACCCAAACUGAACAGACGGCUGAGAGUGCAGAAGACAUCUAUGCUGUAAAAUGGAAAAAAAAAACCGACUGAUCGCAGAUUUAUAGAAUAAGUAUUAAACCGCUGUGCGCUACUGUACACAGGUUUUUCGCCUCGCGGACAUGAUAUCCCACACAACUUCACAAUUUUAUUGUUGUGCCAACGAUUGAAUACAGAAGAAGUCAAAAGAACGUUCUACAUACCACUCAAGAUAUCAACGUUUCCAUGAAAUCAACUUUGUUUGAAAACGUUCCCCACUUCUUCAUUCACUUGCUGGGGCGAUCGAUCGGCAACCUCGUGUCAGUGUGUCAACUGGUUUUAUUAUUUAGUCAUUGACGCAUCGGAACGUAGAAAUCGUUUUGUAGACAUUCAAAAACAUUGGGAAUUCCUUUUUAGGCAUUGAUACGAAAAAAUAUUCUUGAGAUGGGCUCUUCUCUUACUUGCGGAAGAGCAAAAUUCAUAGCUUCUGAGUGUUUACUCUGUAAAACGUUGCGAAAUUGUGUCUCCCUUUAUCUCGGAUCAUAAAAAGUGUUGAAAUUUGUUUUCGUUAUUCUCUUCUUGUAGUCUUAACAGCCCUUUUUUUCUUUCUUUUACAACUUGAUCUAUUACAUUAGAACAUGUUGAAAAAGCCUUGGUGCCUCUGUCUUUUUCAGGCUCUAUUGCACCUCUAAGCUCGACCCCUGUUCCUGAUGCCUCGUCGGGAGCGUCCUCUUGAUUCUCCAAGCCUCUCAAACUCGAAAGUUGAUGUAACAGGUGUGACCUCUGUUGAUGAAUGUGCACCCAUGCAGAGUGUUCAGUUGCGGGGAGCAAACAUCUCCUUUGGCACAGUUGUUGGAAAUCCCUUUUCCGUGUUGCGACAAGACGGAGACAAUAAUGAUGAUGAUGAUGAUGGUGAUUAUGCUGCCUGAGUUGGUUCUGACAACUCCACAAGUAGCACUGACAGCUUUGGUGUGUUUAGUGGAGAUCAGCAUUUAACAAACAGGUACGGCUAUAUUUUGGCUGGAAACAGAGUAAACCAUCACUUGUUGUUUUUGAUGGCCUGUUACCUAUUUUCAGUCAAAUACAUUAUAUACCGUAAUACUUAUGUUUAUUUGAGAUACAGAUAAACUAUUGUUGUUGAUGAUGUUGUUUUGCCUAAAAUUGUGCCUUGAUCUAUGUUCAUGUCCAUUUUUAUUUUCUUUGGUAGGAUGCAAUUGUAGAAAAGUGCAGUUGCUAUUUUGCUGAACUCUCUAUUAUACCUACUGUCAGUAUUUUAAAUUGUUAAAGAAGUUUUCGUUUUUUCGGGUAGUAGUUAAGAGCAAAUCAAAACAGCUACUGUAAAUUAUGAAUGUAGGAAUGAGGAAGGGUUUCUACAAACAAGUUACACAAUUUGCUUUUUUCUUCAUUUGCUUACAGUCAUGAAUUGGAACUUGACAAUGAUGAUGAAACCAAGUUGGUUUGUGAAGUCAUGGAGAUAAGUGUUGAGGAUGAUGAGUGUACAAUCACCAUGGUGGAAGAUAUCGUCAGCGUGUCGCAAAUGUCCUUACCAACUUUACAACCUCUUACUGAGGAGGAAGCUGUUAUUGUGGAUGAUGAUGUACAAGCUCCAAGAGAUUGUGGUAUAGCCAUUGAGUCAGCACCAAAUGAAGAGCCAUCUACUUCUAAGAAAGUUAUUGACAACAGGGAGAAGCUGUUACUUGACUUAGAAAAUUGAUUGGCCAAACUGACAAACAUUGGUAAUGAAUUAAAAGAAUUUGCAGUUCUUCAUGAAAGAAGUAGCUCCAUUGUUUCAGCGGAAAAACUACUGGAGCUGGCUGGGUUUAACUGCACAGUGGAGACUGAUGGGCAUGUGUGCAGUUGCCCAUUGACCCAUGAGACCAAGACUGGUAGUGGGAAUCUGGAGUUGCUCUCAAAAUGUACCAAUGGCCACAGCAAAAAGUGGGUGUACUCCAAGGUGCUUACUCAAAAAAGGAAUCAAUUUACCUAAAUGAUUCCUUUUUGCCUGCAGGGAUUAUCAUCUUGGGCAACAACUACGAGAAAGUCAGCCUGCUUUGUAAAGCCCUUGGCCUAAAUAUAGUGGGAAGAAACAUAUUAAUGCGUUUCCAGAAGCACUGUGCUGCGCCAGUGGUGGAGGAGGUAUUGAUGGAGAUUGGCGAAAUGACUCCCCAGCUCACAGUGCCUGCUACCGCAUUUACACCCCCAUGGAGCAAUUCACCGACAUUGUAGUCGACUCUGAAGUAAGAGACAAAAGAGAGACUGGGGGCAAUUCCACUGGAAUGGAAAAAGAGGCACUGAGAAGGUUACUGGAGAGAAUGGCAACCAUAUUUCCAUUCGACGAUGUAACAACAGAUGCCUCCCCAAUAAUCAUCAAACUUGUCAGGGAUUUAAAAGAAAAGUUUCCCCAACAGAUGGAGCUAUUCCAUUCGCUGAAGAAAGCUUUUCAUCAGGUAAGUUCAGCCAGUAGUUUUGGGAAUGUUCAGUUUUUUCAUUUUCCAUCCUUCACUUACAUAGCAAGCGAAACAGGUCAUACAGGACUUUGAACAGCCUCUUUUGCAAAUUAAAUCUGUAUGGAAUUGCAGGAUCAUGAAAUGUGCUAUGUAUCAAUUAAUAAUUUCACAUUUUUGCUGCAUUAGGUUCCCAAGAUUAAAGGCUGUGGUGAACUGCAGGAGUAGACUGACUGUAUUGUAGAUCAUUUGUAGUUUUGCAGUCAGGAUUCCUAGGAAUUCCAACUGAAAUAUACUCACCUUGAAAAUUCCUUAAAAUUCCCAAAAAUUCCUAGGAAUUUCUGAGAAUAACUUGGAAUUU
rnacentral:lncRNA from 1 species